UUUCCAAAAUAAGUGGGUAAAUUGUGGUUUGAAAAGAAGCUUUGGGGAGGUGAUGAAUUAUUUUGCACCAGUAAUAGGGAAAAAUGGUAUGACCUCCAAUAAACACAUGAAUGGUUACUUCCUGCAGUGGGAAUCAUUUAGGGGGUAUGGAACUCUCAAAUCUCUCACAUGUCCUGGUUUUGCCCUUGUUUAAACAUUGUCUAUCCUUUCUGAAAUUUCAGCUUUCCACAUUCUGCUGAAAUCCUGACUCUUCACAAAUUUAGACCCGUUUUAUGUUCCUCAUGCUCCUCUUUCCUGUUACCUCCCCAAAACCAGUUUCUGUUUAAGCCACAUACCCAGUCUCCUAGGCAUUCUGUAUCAGCUCCUGGGAUGUGUCAAUUGCAUCAAAUGAUGAACCACUGCUUUU